UACGUAGGUGGCGAGCGUUGUCCGGAUUUAUUGGGCGUAAAGCGAGCGCAGGCGGUUUCUUAAGUCUGAUGUGAAAGCCCCCGGCUCAACCGGGGAGGGUCAUUGGAAACUGGGAGACUUGAGUGCAGAAGAGGAGAGUGGAAUUCCAUGUGUAGCGGUGAAAUGCGUAGAUAUAUGGAGGAACACCAGUGGCGAAGGCGGCUCUCUGGUCUGUAACUGACGCUGAGGCUCGAAAGCGUGGGGAGCAAACAGGAUUAGAUACC
rnacentral:rRNA from 1 species